CUGGCAACUGGACAUCAAUCUGCUGCUAGAUUGACGGACGCGCGAACAUAAUCGUGAACAAUUUCGGGUUGUGCGGCGCUCGUCGAAGGGGCGUUUUUCCGCGUUGUGCUCACUCCUAAGCGGUGUCCUAUUUGCGUCGGUGCGGGAUGCCUAACAUAAAGUGUUGUGUGUGUGGUGAUCGCAGGACAAACGAGAAUAAUUUGACUGUUUUCGCAUUCCCAUUUCAACAGGUCCACCUACAGAAGUGGCUUGAAGCAUGUCACAUCAGUGUUGUGGCUCCCGGUCAUGGAGUGUGCCAGGCACAUUUUUCAUCAGAAGCUUUUUCCAGCCUAGCAACUAAGAGGAAAAGGCUGAAGCCCAAUGCUGUGCCAUCUCUGCAGCUCAGGGAAGGUGUUCCAGGCACCCCAGUGCUUCCAGCAUCUACACCAUCUCUAAGACCAGAAUCUAGACACUUGACAACAAGUAAGAAGCUGGUGGUAUCCAACAGCACAUACAUGAUCCUUCGACGUGCGAUGCGAAAGGCCGGCCUACCAUCAGUCAAGCGUACUAUCCUGCAUCUUGCUAAAGGGUACCUGGGGGAACCUGGUGGCGGCGAUGGCGGUAGGAGGCACGCCAGCGGCGGUAAUAUGGGUGGCGAUGGCGACACGGGUGACACUGAGGACUUGGCCAUGCCGAGUAUA